rnacentral:rRNA from 1 species
CCUACGGGAGGCAGCAGUGGGGAAUAUUGGACAAUGGGGGGAACCCUGAUCCAGCCAUGCCGCGUGUGUGAAGAAGGCCCUCGGGUUGUAAAGCACUUUCAGUGAGGAAGAACGCCUGGUGGUUAAUACCCAUCAGGAAAGACAUCACUCACAGAAGAAGCACCGGCUAACUCCGUGCCAGCAGCCGCGGUAAUACGGAGGGGGCGAGCGUUAAUCGGAAUUACUGGGCGUAAAGCGCGCGUAGGUGGCUUGAUAAGCCGGUUGUGAAAGCCCCGGGCUCAACCUGGGAACGGCAUCCGGAACUGUCAAGCUAGAGUGCAGGAGAGGAAGGUAGAAUUCCCGGUGUAGCGGUGAAAUGCGUAGAGAUCGGGAGGAAUACCAGUGGCGAAGGCGGCCUUCUGGACUGACGCUGACACUGAGGUGCGAAAGCGUGGGUAGCAAACAGGAUUAGAUACCCUAGUAGUC